UACGUAGGUGGCAAGCGUUGUCCGGAUUUACUGGGCGUAAAGAGCGCGCAGGCGGCGCGACAAGUCACUUGUGAAAUCUCUGGGCUCAACCCAGAACGGUCAAGUGAUACUGUCGUGCUAGAGUGCGGAAGGGGCAACUGGAAUUCUUGGUGUAGCGGUGAAAUGCGCAGAUAUCAGGAAGAACACCCGUGGCGAAGGCGGCUCUCUGGUACGUGACUGACGCUGAGACGCGAAAGCGUGGGGAGCAAACAGG
rnacentral:rRNA from 1 species